CUGAGACGCUGAAAUGACCGUGAGCCUCCAAAUUUAAGGAAACACUGCACGCAAAGACAAGUGCAGCAAAACAUCUUGAAACAAACAUGCAUGCUUCAAGUGUUUUAGAUACAUUCCACUACAGGCAAGUUAGGAUCACGCCAGAGUGUGACUCAUCCACUGUGCCAC